rnacentral:rRNA from 1 species
AUUGAACGCUGGCGGCAGGCCUAACACAUGCAAGUCGAACGAGUGGCGGACGGGUGAGUAAUGUCUGGGAAACUGCCUGAUGGAGGGGGAUAACUACUGGAAACGGUAGCUAAUACCGCAUACCAUCGGAUGUGCCCAGCUGGGAUUCGCUAGUAGGUGGGGUAACGGCGCACCAAGGCGACGAUCCCUAGCUGGUCUGAGAGGAUGACCAGCCACACUGGAACUGUGACACGGUCCAGACUCCUACGGGAGGCAGCAGUGGGGAAUAAUGCACAAUGGGAGCAAGCCUGAUGCAGCCAUGCCGCGUGUAUGAAGAAGGCCUUCGGGUUGUAAAGUACUUUCAGCGGGGAGGCGUUACCCGCAAAAGAAGCACCGGCUAACUCAGUGCCAGCAGCCGCGGUAAUAC